rnacentral:rRNA from 1 species
CCUACGGGAGGCAGCAGUGAGGAAUAUUGGUCAAUGGACGAGAGUCUGAACCAGCCAAGUAGCGUGAAGGAUGACUGCUCUAUGGGUUGUAAACUUCUUUUAUAUGGGGAUAAAAUCCUACACGUGUGGGAUUUUGUAUGUACCAUAUGAAUAAGGAUCGGCUAACUCCGUGCCAGCAGCCGCGGUAAUACGGAGGAUUCGAGCGUUAUCCGGAUUUAUUGGGUUUAAAGGGUGCGUAGGUGGAUUGUUAAGUCAGUGGUGAAAGUUUGCGGCUCAACCGUAGAAUUGCAGUUGAAACUGUCAGUCUAGAGUACAGUAGAGGUAGGCGGAAUGCGUGGUGUAGCGGUGAAAUGCUUAGAUAUCACGAAGAACUCCGAUUGCGAAGGCAGUUCACUGGACUGCAACUGACACUGAGGCACGAAAGUGUGGGUAUCAAACAGGAUUAGAUACCCCUGUAGUC